rnacentral:rRNA from 1 species
GUUGAACGCUGGCGGCAUGCCUUACACAUGCAAGUCGAGCGGCAGCGCGGGGGCAACCCUGGCGGCGAGCGGCGGACGGGUGAGUAAUACAUCGGAACGUGUCCUUUCGUGGGGGAUAACCAGUCGAAAGACUGGCUAAUACCGCAUGAGAUCUCACGAUGAAAGCGAGGGACCCGAGGGUAACUUCGGGGCCUCGCGCGAUUGGAGCGGCCGAUGCCGGAUUAGCAGUUGGCGGGGUAAAAGCCCACCAAGGCGACGAUCCGUAGCUGGUUUGAGAGAACGACCAGCCACACUGGGACUGAGACACGGCCCAGACUCCUACGGGAGGCAGCAGUGGGGAAUUUGGACAAUGGGGGCAACCCUGAUCCAGCCAUGCCGCGUGUGUGAAGAAGG